CACGUAGGGUGCGAGCGUUGUCCGGAAUUAUUGGGCGUAAAGAGCUCGUAGGCGGUGUGUCGCGUCGGCCGUGAAAACCUGUAGCUUAACUGUGGGCUUGCGGUCGAUACGGGCAUCACUGGAGUUCGGCAGGGGAGACUGGGAUUCCUGGUGUAGCGGUGAAAUGCGCAGAUAUCAGGAGGAACACCGGUGGCGAAGGCGGGUCUCUGGGCCGAUACUGACGCUGAGGAGCGAAAGCGUGGGGAGCGAACAGG
rnacentral:rRNA from 1 species